CGGAAAUUAAAGGAGAUAAAACUUGACCAAAAUGGUAAUAAUAACAUGAAAAAAUUGACUACCAUAAAUUAAAUGACUACAUAGUGCAUAUUACUAAUAUGCUAACUUAACAUGAUCACUCCCUCCAAAAAAAAAGGUAAACAAGAAAUUUAAAGAUAAUUAGGAUAAUCUCCUCAUGAGUUGCUCCUCCUAACCAUGACUUCACUCAUAGAUGCAGCUGCCAUAACCUGCGCCAUUGUCAAAAUUGAAUUAUUGAUAGAUUUACAAUAUGGUUGCAAUGCAAGCACAUUAAGUAAGUGAGAAGCAGAAACAGUGCCGAAUUUAGGAGUGACAUUAUUAUAGUACAAAAAUCAAAAAUAGCAUGAUUUAUAACUGGUAAUUAAAAAAUAUCACAGUUUUUAAAAAAAUCGAAAUUUAGUCAUUUUUUCACGUAAAAAUAAAUUUGAACAAAAACAUCCUUAAAAAUUCUAAAGAAUUCCAACAUAAUAUGUUGCAGUUCGAAUAUUUUACAUAUGAGAUUCCAGCAUAAUAGGAUAGAAUUUCAUAAUAUAUUGGAAGUUUAUACGCAAAAGUUCUAUAAUCUAGCAUAUUAUGCAGAAACUUUUCGUGUUUCAGGUAAAGUAUUUUGUUCAGAUUUUAUCACUACUAGAAAUCCGCCAAAAACGACCAAAAAAACCGACCAAAGUUGAUCGGUUAUGACCAAUUACCGACCAAAAUGUGACCAUUUACGUGUGAGCGGUAUUUUGAUGGUCGGAAAAAACUACCGACCAAAGUUGAUCGGAAAUUACCUACCAACAUUGGUCGGUCAAUUAAAUUCAAAAAAAAAAAAUCGACCAAAGUUGGUCGGUAUUUUAGUUAUGUAAAAGAUUCACCAUAUGAGAAUUGAAUUGGGGUGUGUACUGUAGCAAGAUACUAUUCUUCCACUAGACCAAUGGUACAUUUUGUUGGAUCGGUCAUGACAACGAGGGCAGAAUUACCAAAGUGGCAAUUCCAGGGGUUCCUUCCUUUAGUUUGGUAGUAGAGGUUCAUCAAAUUGUUUGGGGAAAAGCAAGGGCAAUCCUCCUGAAAUAUACUGCGGCACUCCACGUUAGAACAAGCAUAAUUUAUGCUCUGUUGAAGAAUUGCAUUAUCUGAUGAAGGUUUAGCCACACACCAUGUCUUCUACAAAACACAUCUAUUCACUUAAUUAACUAACUUGUAAUCUACAAUAACUAAUUAAUUCAACCUUUUAACUUAAUUACCUUCCCAUCCGCUAUCGGCGCUGAAACCA
rnacentral:lncRNA from 1 species